rnacentral:piRNA from 1 species
UUGGUGUAGUAUGUGUGAGUUCAAGAC